rnacentral:rRNA from 1 species
CAGUCGCCACGGGAACACGAAGGGGGAUAGCGUUGCUCGGAAUCACUGGGCGUAAAGGGUGCGUAGGCGGUUAUGUAAGACAGGUGUGAAUCCCCGGGCUUAACCUGGGAACUGCGCUUGUGACUGCACAGCUAGAGUAUGGCAGAGGGGGGUGGAAUUCCACGUGUAGCAGUGAAAUGCGUAGAGAUGUGGAGGAACACCGAUGGCGAAGGCAGCCCCCUGGGCCAAUACUGACGCUCAUGCACGAAAGCGUGGGGAGCAAACAGGAUUAGAUACCCCCGUAGUCCCUGUCUCUUAUACA